ensembl:lncRNA
AGCCAUCUCUCCAGCCCCUCCAAGUAUUUCUUAAGCUUUCCUAUUUUGGUUUUUAAUGUUUUGCAGCAAAUAAGUUCCUUUUGGGUGGGACAAGUCACUUGUCUGGGACACCUACACCUCUUGAGUCCCUGUGGCUCCGUGUGGAUGACUGUUAUCACCUGUCACCUCAGUACUUGGGAGACUGAGGAGGCAUGAUAUUUUUUAAUUCAGAGACAGGUCUGACUAUGUAGCCCAGGUUGACUGUAAACUCAUAGCAACCAAGUGCCUUCCUGGACUCUAGUGAUGAUUCAGGGUUCAGGGCUAGAGAACCAAGGUCCCCAGGGGACACUUAGCAACACAUAGAGAGACAUUAUCACAUGUUAGCGAUCAUAGACACUGCUAACCGUGGCACCAUGCAUGGCACACUUCCCAGCAUGUAUUUAACUAGCUUCAGAUGCCAGAAGCUUGGGGAUGGAUGGUGGGACAGCUUUCAGACUGCACAAGGAACUUGGGUUUUAUGCAUGCCCAAAGCCCUGGUUCUACACGCAGCACCGGGUUUUGUGGUGUGCUUGGAAGGGACGUGUCAUGUUUGAUUCCUACAAUGAGGCUGGAGAGCAGGCCUCGGCUCCAACAAGAACCAGCCUCCUGCCAUCCCUAGCUGCAUCCCAUUCCGGUUAGGGAGUCAUACCUGCACACUGGCUGAGCACUGACCACAGAGGCCACUCCUGCCAGCAUCAACAACAGCAUCUUGCUUGCCUGGUCGUCAGUAGCUAACACUGCUCCUCAACUGCCAAGGAGCUUGAGGAAGAAUGUGAGCAUGCGCAUAGAACCUGCGGGUACGCCACUUCACGCCCCCACUCCCGAGUCGGCCCUGCGCACCUGGUAUGAAGGCUGCUAUCAGGAACCUUUUGGGUAUGCAGCACAGAAUCCCUGAAAAAGCCCCAGUAGGUCUACUCCGAGGCAAGUGAGCAUAGAAACAUGGAAGCAGAGCACGUUGAACCUGGAAGCACCCAGGCUCCCACUCCGCGACUGUCCACCGAGCACGCACACAUGUGCGAGGCUUGCCAUGUGCCUAUGAGAGAGGGAGGCAAAGCUCUCUACAGGUGCCUCCUCCAGCGUGGAGUGAAGACGGUGGGACGGACCUGUCGCUGUGUAUCACCAGUGCACAAGAAUAAGGCUGGGGGCUGGAGAGAUGGCUCAGUGGUUAAGAGCACUGACUGCUCUUCCAGGGGACCCGGGUUCAAUUCCCAGCACCCACAUGGCAGCUCACAACUGUCUGUAACUCCAGUUCCAGGGGACUCAACACCCAUGGCAAAAACACCAAUGCACAUAAAAUUGCAAAAAAAAUAAAUAAUUUAAAAAAAGAAUAAGGCUGAAGCACUGUGCUUUCCCUCUCAUGCCUUCCCUACCAGUUACUCGAGGAAAAACUUAUGAUGAAACAAGGAAACAGACGCUGGCCUACCACAGCGCUUAAACAGGAAGGGACCACGCCUCCUCCAGCACCCGCUCCCUGCGCCGCGCUCCGACCACGCCCACAACAAGCCCCACACCCUCUGUCGGCAUUUGGCCCCGCCCCUUGAGCCCACCUCCCGCCUCAUCCCACUCCACCUCUUCAAGCCUCGCCUCCUCAAGUCUCCUUCAUGGCCACGCC